CCUACGGGAGGCAGCAGUGAGGAAUAUUGGUCAAUGGACGAGAGUCUGAACCAGCCAAGUAGCGUGAAGGAUGACUGCCCUAUGGGUUGUAAACUUCUUUUAUAUGGGAAUAAAAUGUUCCACGUGUGGGAUUUUGUAUGUACCAUAUGAAUAAGGAUCGGCUAACUCCGUGCCAGCAGCCGCGGUAAUACGGAGGAUCCGAUCGUUAUCCGGAUUUAUUGGGUUUAAAGGGAGCGUAGGUGGAUUGUUAAGUCAAUUGUGAAAGUUUGCGGCUCAACCCUAAAAUUGCAGUUGAAACUGGCAUUCUUGAGUAGAGGAGAGGUGGGCGGAAUUCGUGGUGUAGCGGUGAAAUGCUUAGAUAUCACGAAGAACUCCGAUUGCGAAGGCAGCACACUGGACUGCCACUGACACUGAGGCACGAAAGUGUGGGUAUCGAACAGGAUUAGAUACCCGGGUAGUC
rnacentral:rRNA from 1 species